GUCUCGGAUAGCUUAAGGAAAGAGCAGUUGGCGAGAUACCAAAAGAUCUAGGUUCGAGUCCUGGUCUGGGCC
rnacentral:tRNA from 1 species